CAAAAUGUAGCUAAAACAGUAAAGCACCUCCCUUACACCGAGAAGAUACCCGCGCAAUUCGAGUCAUUUUGA
rnacentral:tRNA from 1 species